rnacentral:hammerhead_ribozyme from 1 species
GUGUUGCAGAAGAGUCCCAGAAUAGGACGAAACAGUUGUCUAGUAC